rnacentral:rRNA from 1 species
CGGAGGGUGCAAGCGUUAUCCGGAAUCAUUGGGUUUAAAGGUCCGCAGGCGGAUUUAUAAGUCAGUGGUGAAAGCCUACAGCUUAACUGUAGAACUGCCAUUGAUACUGUAAGUCUUGAAUUUGGUCGAAGUGGGCGGAAUAUGACAUGUAGCGGUGAAAUGCAUAGAUAUGUCAUAGAACACCGAUAGCGAAGGCAGCUCACUAGGCCAACAUUGACGCUCAUGGACGAAACGCGUGGGGAGCAAACAGGAUUAGAUACCCUGGUAGUCCACGCCGUAAACUAUCAAUACUCGGUUUUCAGCGAUAUACUGUUGGAGACUAAGCGAAAGUGAUAAGUAUUGCACCUGGGGAGUACGAUCGCAAGGUUG